CCUACGGGCGGCAGCAGUGAGGAAUAUUGGUCAAUGGAGGGAACUCUGAACCAGCCAUCUCGCGUGAAGGACUACGGCCCUACGGGUCUUAAACUUCUUUUAUAGGGGGAUAAAGUCGCAUACGUGUAUGUGAUUGCAGGUACCCUAUGAAUAAGCAUCGGCUAACUCCGUGCCAGCAGCCGCGGUAAUACGGAGGAUGCGAGCGUUAUCCGGAUUUAUUGGGUUUAAAGGGUGCGCAGGCGGCGCGUUAAGUCAGCGGUGAAAUGUCGGGGCUCAACCCCGGCACUGCCGUUGAAACUGGCGUGCUCGAGUACGGAUGAAGCGGGCGGAAUGUGAUGUGUAGCGGUGAAAUGCUUAGAUAUGUCACAGAACACCGAUUGCGAAGGCAGCUCGCUAAUCCGCAACUGACGCUCAUGCACGAAAGCGUGGGGAUCGAACAGGAUUAGAUACCCUUGUAGUC
rnacentral:rRNA from 1 species